UCCGGUUUGUCACCGGCAGUCCCAUUAGAGUGCCCAACUGAAUGUAGCAACUAAUGGCAAGGGUUGCGCUCGUUGCGGGACUUAACCCAACAUCUCACGACACGAGCUGACGACAGCCAUGCAGCACCUGUGCACGGACUCCGAAGAGGAACCGAUGUUUCCACCGGUAGCAGUUACAUGUCAAGCCUAGGUAAGGUUCCUCGCGUAGUGUCGAAUUAAACCACAUGUUCCACCGCUUGUGCGGGCCCCCGUCAAUUUCUUUGAGUUUUAAUCUUGCGAUCGUACUUCCCAGGCGGAUCACUUAACGCGUUAGCUUCGACACUGAUCCGGCGAACCGAACCAACAUCUAGUGAUCAUCGUUUACGGCGUGGACUAC
rnacentral:misc_RNA from 1 species